rnacentral:rRNA from 1 species
UAAUACAGAGGGGGCAAGCGUUAUUCGGAAUUAUUGGGCGUAAAGGGCGCGUAGGCGGCUUGGCAAGUGGAUGGUGAAAUCCCUCGGCUUAACCGAGGAACUGCCGUCCAAACUGCUUUGCUUGAGGCCGGGAGAGGUGAGUGGAAUUCCCAGUGUAGCGGUGAAAUGCGUAGAUAUUGGGAGGAACACCAGUGGCGAAGGCGGCUCACUGGACCGGUACUGACGCUGAUGCGCGAAAGCGUGGGGAGCAAACGGGAUUAGAUACCCCGGUAGUCCACGCCGUAAACGAUGAGUGCUUGGUGUAGCGGGUAUCGACCCCUGCUGUGCCGAAGUCAACACAUUAAGCACUCCGCCUGGGGAGUACGGUCGCAAGGCU